AGUGAAUCCCCAAAAGGUGCAAAUGAUGCAUCUACAUUCCAAAGAAAGCUUGCAGUGGAGUGCAUUUUUUGCUCAGCGUGUAUUCGCUUUGUGGAGUGUUGUCCACAAGAAGGACUUACAGAAAAACUCUGGAUCGGACUUGAAAACUUUUUGUUCGAUUGGCUGAUAAAUGCUGACAGGGUUGUUAGUCAGGUUGAAUAUCCUUCAUUGGUUGAUUUGCGCGGUCUCCUUCUAGAUCUAGUUGCACAACUCCUUGGUGCUCUAUCAUGUGUCAGGU